rnacentral:rRNA from 1 species
UACAGAGGGUGCGAGCGUUGUCCGGAAUCACUGGGCGUAAAGGGCGCGUAGGCGGCUUGGUAAGCGUGCGGUGAAAGCCCGGGGCUCAACCCCGGGUCGGCCGUGCGAACUGCUGGGCUGGAGCACUGUAGAGGCAGGUGGAAUUCCGGGUGUAGCGGUGGAAUGCGUAGAGAUCAGGAAGAACACCGGUGGCGAAGGCGGCCUGCUGGGCAGUAGCUGACGCUGAGGCGCGACAGCGUGGGGAGCAAACAGG